CGCGUAGGCGGCUUAUCAAGUCAGGCGUGAAAGCCCCGGGCUUAACCUGGGAACUGCGCUUGAGACUGUUAGGCUUGAGUUUCGGAGAGGUAGGUGGAAUUCCCAGUGUAGAGGUGAAAUUCGUAGAUAUUGGGAAGAACACCGGUGGCGAAGGCGGCCUACUGGACGAAUACUGACGCUGAGGCGCGAAAGCGUGGGGAGCAAACA
rnacentral:rRNA from 1 species